rnacentral:rRNA from 1 species
CGAACGCUGCGGCGUGCUAACACGAUGCAAGUCGAACGCGAAAGGGACUUCGGUCCUGAGUAAAGUGGCGGCACGGGUGAGUAACGCGUAGAUAACCUGUCUUCAUGUCUGGAAUAAUACGCCAAAGGGGUACUAAUACCGGAUAUUCUUGCUUUUCAUAAGUUAUGCAAGCAAAGGUGGCCUCUGCAUAUGCUACUGCAUGAAGAGGGGUCUGCGUACCAUUAGCUAGUAGGUGGGGGUAAUGGCCUACCUAGGCGACGAUGGUUAGCGGGUCUGAGAGGAUGAUCCGCCACACUGGCACUGGAACACGGGCCAGACUCCUACGGGAGGCAGCAGUGAGGAAUAUUGCGCAAUGGGGGAAACCCUGACGCAGCGACGCCGCGUGAGUGAGGAAGGCCUUCGGGUCGUAAAGCUCUGUCAAGAGGAAAGAAGUGUACAAUGGCUAAUACCUGUUGUAUUUGACGGUACCUCUAAAGGAAGCACCGGCUAACUCCGUGCCAGCCGCCGC